rnacentral:miRNA from 1 species
CAAAUUGAUGCACAUACCACAUUACACAUUUUCAGGUGUAAUGUGGUAUGUGCAUCAAUUUG